rnacentral:rRNA from 1 species
GAUGAACGCUGGCGGCAUGCCUUACACAUGCAAGUCGAACGGCAGCACGGGAGCAAUCCUGGUGGCGAGUGGCGAACGGGUGAGUAAUAUAUCGGAACGUGCCCGGUCGUGGGGGAUAACGUAGCGAAAGCUACGCUAAUACCGCAUACGAUCUAUGGAUGAAAGCGGGGGGAUCGCAAGACCUCGCGCGAUUGGAGCGGCCGAUAUCAGAUUAGGUAGUUGGUGAGGUAAAGGACGUCACCAAGCCGACGAUCUGUAGCUGGUCUGAGAGGACGACCAGCCACACUGGGACUGAGACACGGCCCAGACUCCUACGGGAGGCAGCAGUGGGGAAUUUUGGGACAAUGGGCGAAAGCCUGAUCCAGCAAUGCCGCGUGAGUGA